rnacentral:rRNA from 1 species
UGGCGGGACGGGUAGUAACGCGUAAAGAACUUGCCCUUUAGACUGGGAUAACAGAGGGAAACUUCUGAUAAUACUGGAUAAGUUAGUAUAUCGCAUGAUAUGCAAAUGAAAGCUACGGCACUAAAGGAGAGCUUUGCGUCCUAUUAGCUAGUUGGUAAGGUAAGAGCUUACCAAGGCGAUGAUAGGUAGCCGGCCUGAGAGGGUGGACGGCCACAAGGGGACUGAGAUACGGCCCUUACUCCUACGGGAGGCAGCAGCG